UCACUCAGGCAAGACUAAAUACAUUUAAAUUGAUUUCAGUUUGUUAUAUGUUUCAGGUCAUCCUGACCAUUCUGCUGUCCUGGACGUGAGGACAUGCUGGAACUGCAUUUCUCAUGGUUGACAGAAUUGUGCAGCAGUAUCCAGAUAUACAAACAGCCUUCCUGGACCCACACGACUAAAGGCUCAAGAGAAGAGACAGAUUCGAGGGAAAGAUGAAAAAUAAGGAAGUCUGGGAACGACUGAAGAAGACAGCAGUGAGGGAAGGAAGUUAUCACCAGAAUCUCAGAGAAGGAAAUUUACGGUGCAGGCUCAGGAUGAAGAAGAGGGGGAAGAACACGUUUGACAGUUUUCUCAUACCUUUGCCAUGUGUUAUAAUAAAAACAAUAAACCUGACUACAAUAAUAUGCUAUAUCUUAUUAAAAGAUUCCAGUUUGCAAGAAAUCUGGAGUGUCUGACUCUGCACUAGAGCAACUCUUUGCUGAAGAAGAUCAUGUGCUGAGGAGGAGUCUUGUUCUACAGCAAAACACUGCAUCAAGCCUCCAUGUGAAGUGAUAUCCUCCUGUCCUUCCCUCAGAAGAGCCGGUCUUCUGCUGCUGGGUUACAGGGACUGAUGAACACAGCCUUGUUCUCAUCCACUGAUGAAGCCUUCUUCACUGGAAAGCAUAAUGCUGCAAUCAAAGAGUUGAUUAAUCAUGCGCUUGAAGAGCUGGAACACGGUUGUCUGGUGCGGACACAGCUGCGGCCAGAUUGUCCUGCACAUCCUCUCAUGUGCUGGCUUCUGUGUUUUGGGGUUCUGAUGCGUCAUCGUCAUGAUCCUCUAGAUCUCUAGACUUCUGGAUAAACAAUAUCCCCAUUCAGAAGACCGAGUUUGUUGAGCACCGCACAGCAUGCAGCAUCUGGCACAAAGGCAGGGCUCACUUCCAGGGCCUUGCAGAAGAAGAUGGAGCGCCAGCUUGUCAGCCAGUCUGUGCAUGAGUAUCAUUGGUGUUGAUGGUCUGUACUCGCCAUCUCCCAGGAUGCAUUUUCCUGCAGGUGGAUACAGGCGGCCAGUGUAAAUAGGGCUGAUCUUCAGCAGCCUGGCAUCGUACACAGACCCAGGAUACCCAACAAAGAUAUCGAGGAACUUCCCCUGGUGGUGGCCUGCAGCUGAACAGAAUGAAACUGCUUCCUGUUGAAAUAACAUUGGGGCGUCACUUGCUGCUGGUUCAAUUUGUAUGUGACAGCCAUCUAUUGUUCCAGCUACUACAAGGAAAGCUGGAGACCCAGCCAGAUAGGCAAAACCUGGUCCCACUGCCUCCAGGUCAUCUGUGGUGGGGAAGGUAAUCAGCCUCCUCAAAAUCCUGACGACAGCCUGCUCAUUCUGUGCACAAUGUCAUGCAGCUCUUGGAUGUCGAAGGCCAGUGACAGCAGGCUGUAUGAUGCUGCUCACAGUCUGUAAAUAUGU